GACGAACGCUGGCGGCGCGCUUAACACAUGCAAGUCGAGCGAGAACCAGUCCUUCGGGACUGGGGACAGCGGCGAACGGGUGAGUAACACGUGGGUAAUCUGCCCUCGGCACCGGAAUAGCCCGGGGAAACCCGGAUUAGUGCCGGAUGGCCUCUCUGCCCCUCGGGGCGGUGAGAAAAGGUAGCUUCGGCCUCCGGCCGAGGAUGAGCCCGCGGCCGAUUAGCUUGUUGGUGGGGUAACGGCUCACCAAGGCGACGAUCGGUAGCUGGUCUGAGAGGACGAUCAGCCACACUGGGACUGAGACACGGCCCAGACUCCUACGGGAGGCAGCAGUGGGGAAUUGUUCGCAAUGGGCGCAAGCCUGACGACGCAACGCCGCGUGGAGGAUGAAGAUCUUCGGGUCGUAAACUCCUGUCGAGCGGGACGAACGCCUUGUGGUCUAACACACCGCAGGGGUGACGGUACCGCUAAAGGAAGCCCCGGCUAACUCCGUGCCAGCCGCCGCAGUAAAAC
rnacentral:rRNA from 1 species